rnacentral:rRNA from 1 species
GACGAACGCUGGCGGCGUGCCUAAUACAUGCAAGUAGAACGCUGAAGGAGGAGCUUGCUUCUCUGGAUGAGUUGCGAACGGGUGAGUAACGCGUAGGUAACCUGCCUGGUAGCGGGGGAUAACUAUUGGAAACGAUAGCUAAUACCGCAUAAGAGUAGAUGUUGCAUGACAUUUACUUAAAAGGUGCAAUUGCAUCACUACCAGAUGGACCUGCGUUGUAUUAGCUAGUUGGUGAGGUAACGGCUCACCAAGGCAACGAUACAUAGCCGACCUGAGAGGGUGAUCGGCCACACUGGGACUGAGACACGGCCCAGACUCCUACGGGAGGCAGCAGUAGGGAAUCUUCGGCAAUGGACGGAAGUCUGACCGAGCAACGCCGCGUGAGUGAAGAAGGUUUUCGGAUCGUAAAGCUCUGUUGUAAGAGAAGAACGAGCGUGAGAGUGGAAAGUUCACACUGUGACGGUAUCUUACCAGAAAGGGACGGCUAACUACGUG